GAUGAAGAACGCAGCGAAAUGCGAUAAGUAAUGUGAAUUGCAGAAUUCAGUGAAUCAUCGAAUCUUUGAACGCACAUUGCGCCCGCCAGUAUUCUGGCGGGCAUGCCUGUCUGAGCGUCAUUUCAACCCUCAUGCCCCUAGGGCGUGGUGUUGGGGAUCGGCCAAAGCCCGCGAGGGACGGCCGGCCCCUAAAUCUAGUGGCGGACCCGUCGUGGCCUCCUCUGCGAAGUAGUGAUAUUCCGCAUCGGAGAGCGAUGAGCCCCUGCCGUUAAACCCCCAACUUUCCAAGGUUGACCUCAGAUCAGUAGGAAUACCCGCUGAACUUAAGCAUAUCAAUAAGCGGAGGA
rnacentral:misc_RNA from 1 species